UCCGAUUUAAAUAUCGGCAGUCUCGCUAGAGUGCCCGGCCGAACCGCUGGCAACUAACGACAAGGGUUGUGCUCGUUGCGGGACUUAACCCAACAUCUCACGACACGAGCUGACGACAGCCAUGCAGCACCUAACUACAGGUUCUCCGAAGAGCACCCCGAUCUUUCAACCAGGUCCCUGCAUUUUCUAGCCCAGGUAAGGUUCUUCGCGUUGCGUCGAAUUGAACCACAUGCUCCACCGCUUGUGCGGGCCCCCGUCAAUUCCUUUGAGUUUCAGCCUUGCGACUGUACUCCCCAGGCGGCAUAUUUAACGCGUUAGCUGCGCCACCGAAACGCUAAGCGCCCCGACAGCUAGUCAUCAUCGUUUACGGCGUGGACUAC
rnacentral:misc_RNA from 1 species